AGUGAACGCUGGCGGUAGGCCUAACACAUGCAAGUCGAACGGCAGCACAGUAAGAGCUUGCUCUUACGGGUGGCGAGUGGCGGACGGGUGAGGAAUACAUCGGAAUCUACUUUUUCGUGGGUGAUAACGUAGGGCAACUUACGCUAAUACCGCAUACGACCUACGGGUGAAAGCAGGGGAGCUUCGGACCUUUCGCGAUUGAAUGAGCCGACGCCGGAUUAGCUAGUUGGCGGGGUAAAGGCCCACCAAGGCAACGAUCCGUAGCUGGCCUGAGAGGAUGAUCGGCCACACUGGAACUGAGACACGGUCCAGACUCCUACGGGAGGCAGCAGUAGGGAAUAUUGGACAAUGGGCGCAAGCCUGAUCCAGCCAUACCGCGUGAGUGAAGAAGGCCUUCGGGUUGUAAAGCCCUUUUGUUGGGAAAGAAAAGCAGCAGAUUAAUACCCCGCUGUUCUGACGGUACCCAAAGAAUAAGCACCGGCUAACUUCGUG
rnacentral:rRNA from 1 species